UACGAAGGGGGCUAGCGUUGCUCGGAAUUACUGGGCGUAAAGCGCACGUAGGCGGCUCUUUAAGUCAGGGGUGAAAUCCUGGAGCUCAACUCCAGAACUGCCUUUGAUACUGAGGAUCUUGAGUUCGGGAGAGGUGAGUGGAACUGCGAGUGUAGAGGUGAAAUUCGUAGAUAUUCGCAAGAACACCAGUGGCGAAGGCGGCUCACUGGCCCGAUACUGACGCUGAGGCACGAAAGCGUGGGGAGCAAACAGGG
rnacentral:rRNA from 1 species